rnacentral:snRNA from 1 species
AUCCUUACCUGGCAGGGUAGAUACCAUGAUCACCAAGGUGGGUUUCCCAGGGAAAGGCUUAGCCACUGUAUUCCAGAUGCGAUGACCCUGCAAUGUCCCCAAAUGUAGGAAACUUGACGGCAUAAUUUGUGCAUUUGUGCUCUC